rnacentral:rRNA from 1 species
UACGUAGGGCGCAAGCGUUGUCCGGAAUUAUUGGGCGUAAAGAGCUCGUAGGCGGCUUGUCACGUCGGGUGUGAAAGCCCGGGGCUUAACCCCCGGGUCUGCAUUCGAUACGGGCAGGCUAGAGUGUGGUAGGGGAGAUCGGAAUCCUGGUGUAGCGGUGAAAUGCGCAGAUAUCAGGAGGAACACCGGUGGCGAAGGCGGAUCUCUGGGCCAUUACUGACGCUGAGGAGCGAAAGCGUGGGGAGCGAACAGG